rnacentral:rRNA from 1 species
AUGGCGUCCGUGCCCGCCUCCUGCCCGCGCCCGCCGCAGGCCGCCGUCCGCCGCCUCCUCCCGCUGCCGCUCCAGCUCCGGCUCGUCUGCCGCCUGCGGAGGCUGCCGCUCCCGCUGCUAGGCCUCUCCGCCGCCGCGCGGAGGGGGGAGGCGCUCCCGCGGGCCGCGGAGGGGGGCGACGGGCGGGCCGCGGCCAAGGAGAAGGAGGUGGAUGAGGAGGACGAGGAGGAGGAUGUGGGAGGGAGGGAGGCGGGCGAGGACGACGGGGCUCGGGAGGCGGAGGGCGCGGGGGCGGCGAGGGGCUCCGGGCGGUUCGCCGCCGACUACAUCUCGCUUGGCAUCAGGGAGCCCGUCUACGAGGUGGUAGAAGUGAAAGCUAAUGGAAGCGUGUCUACCGAAAAAAUAAGCCGCCGGCAGCUACUGAAAUCAAGUGGCCUCCGUCUACGAGAUACAAGAAGCGUUGACCCGUCACUAUGGCUAAUGAAUUCAAUGCCUUCCCUGCUGGUACGUGAACAGGCCAUAUUACUCAACCUUGGUUCCUUGCGAGCAAUUGCUAUGCAUGAACGUGUCCUUAUAUUCAAUUAUAACAGCCCAGGAGGAAAGGUCUUUUUAGAGCUAUUACGACCUCGGUUAAAUCCAAGGAACAUCAAUGGUGGGCCUGCAAUGCCUUUUCAACUUGAGGUUGUUGAAGCUGCAUUGCUUUCUAGAAUACAAAGGCUGGAACGAAGAUUAAUGCAUGUUGAACCUCGUGUGGCUACAUUGCUUGAAGUUCUACCAAAUCGGUUGACAGGUGAUGUUUUGGAGCAGCUUCGUCUAAGCAAACAAUCAUUGGUCGAGCUGGGUUCACGGGCAGGUGAUCUUAAACAAAUGCUCAUCGAUCUCCUUGAAGAUCCCCAUGAAAUUCGUCGAAUAUGCAUUAUGGGGAGAAAUUGUACACUAGAUAAAGUGAGUGAUGAUAUGGAAUGUUCUGUUCCAUUAGAAAAGCAAGUUGCCGAAGAGGAAGAGGAAGAAAUUGAGAUGCUAUUGGAAAAUUACCUUCAAAGAUGUGAAUCAUGCCAUGGUCAAGCAGAGAGGCUUCUUGAUUCUGCAAGAGAAAUGGAAGAUUCAAUUGCAGUGAACUUAAGUUCCCGACGACUGGAAGUGAGCAGAGUGGAGUUGCUUCUUCAGGUCGGAACAUUUUGCGUCGCUGUAGGAGCAUUAAUCGCAGGGAUAUUCGGCAUGAACCUCAAAUCAUACCUGGAGAACAACACGUGGGCAUUUUGGGCGACGACUGGCGGAAUAGCAGUCGGAGCAGUAGCCGGGUUUUUCAUCAUGUACAAGUACCUAAAGGAUAGGAAGAUAUUGUAA